CGCCUGACAGGAAGCGAUAAUCCGCCCCUCCGUAACUGGUCACUUGGAGGACGGGGAGCCAGUAGUGAAACCGGCCUGGGAUUAA
rnacentral:ncRNA from 13 species